GGUUAGAACAGUAGCAGCGUAGAGUAAGAAACGCGAAAGGGGUCUGGAAUCAAUCAAUCCAUCGAUCAUCGUUGUUGUUGUUGUGGUUGUGGUGCCUCUUCUUCUUCAUUUCUUCGGAAGCUAUGGCCGCUGUCUCUGCAAUCUUCAUUUACCCAAUCAAAUCAUGUCGCGGUAUUUCAGUUCCCCAAGCACCUCUUACUCCUACUGGAUUUCGAUGGGACCGUCAAUGGUUGGUUGUGAACUAUAAAGGAAGAGCAUACACUCAGAGAGUGGAACCUAAGCUUGCUUUAGUCGAGGUAGAGCUGCCAACCGAUGCAUUCUUGGAGGACUGGAAGCCUUCUAAAUCCUCAUUUCUUGUCAUAAAAGCACCUGGGAUGGAUGUCUUAAAGGUUCCCCUGUGUGAACCGCAGCAGAAUGCAGAUGGUGUCUCUUGCUGGGAAUGGUCUGGCUCUGCAAUGGAUGAGGGAGAUGGUCCAUCAAAGUGGUUUUCAGAUUAUCUUGGAAAACCCAGUCGUUUGGUUCGCUUUAAUGCAGCUUCACAAACAAGGAAAGUAGAUCCCACAUAUGGUCCUGGACAUCAAAUCAUGUUUUCUGAUGAGUUCCCCUACACGUUGAUAUCUCAGGGGUCUUUGGAUGCCUUGAAUAAAGUUCUCAAAGAACCCAUAUCAAUUAACCGCUUUAGACCUAACAUUCUCGUUGAUGGCUGUGAACCAUUCUCUGAGGAUUUGUGGACUGAGAUCGUAAUAGACAAGUUCAUAUUUCAGGGGGUUAGGCUAUGUGCCCGUUGCAAGAUACCUUCAAUAAACCAGGAGACUGGAGUUGCAGGACCCGAGCCGAAUGAGACUCUAAAGAAUGUGAGAUCAGAUACCGUCCUGCGUCCAAACCAUAAACAGAAGGGAAAAAUUUUCUUUGGCCAGAAUUUGGUUUGGAAGAACUUAGCAAUUGCAGGGAAGGGAAAAAUCAUAAAAGUGGGAGAUAAAGUCAAGAUUGUGGGGAAGGUUUCCUCUGUAGCGGAAGCAGUAGUUUGAAUACGUAAGAUUACUAAUUAUUAUACAUAACAUACAUACAAUAAGAGAUUAUAUGGACAUUAUGAUGAUAUGGGCUUUGUUUAUAUAAUACCGUAGAAGCCAAAGGUGAAGCAAGUGAGAUGGGGUAUUAGUUGCUUGCUCAGCGUUUCCUGUGUGAGAAGUGACAAUAAUUAAAUAUAAAUGUUAUAAAUGUAUGAAUAAAAAGGGGUAUGAUGAGUCCCCGUAGUGUAUUACUG
rnacentral:misc_RNA from 1 species